UCUAGUGGCGGACGGGUGAGUAACACGUGAGAAUUUACCUUUAGGAGGGGGAUAACAAUUGGAAACGAAUGCUAAUACCCCAUAUGCUUCAGAGUGAAAUGGAUUUAUAUUUAUCCGCCUAAAGAGAAGCUCGCGGCUGAUUAGCUUGUUGGUAAGGUAAGAGCUUACCAAGGCGACGAUCAGUAUCUGGUUUGAGAGGACGAUCAGACACACUGGAACUGAGACACGGUCCAGACUCCUACGGGAGGCAGCAGUGGGGAAUUUUCCGCAAUGGGCGAGAGCCUGACGGGGCAAUACCGCGUGAGGGAAGACUGCCUAUGGGUUGUAAACCUCUUUUUUCAGGGAGGAAUAAAAUGACGUGUACCUGAAGAAUAAGCAUCGGCUAACUCCGUGCCAGCAGCCGCGGUAAGACGGAGGAUGCAAGCGUUAUCCGGAAUCACUGGGCGUAAAGCGUCUGUAGGUGGUUUAAUAAGUCAACUGUUAAAUCUUGAGGCUCAACUUCAAAAUCGCAGUCGAAACUAUUAGACUAGAGUAUAGUA
rnacentral:rRNA from 1 species